GCCAGGCGUGGUGGCGCAUGCCUGUAGUCCCAGCCACUUGGGAGGCUGAGGCAGAAGAAUCACUUGAACCUGGGUGGCAGAGGUUGCAGUGAGCCAAGAUCGUGCCACUGCACUCCAGCCUGGGUGACAGAGUGAGACUCUGUCUCAA
rnacentral:SRP_RNA from 1 species